rnacentral:rRNA from 1 species
GAGGUCUCAAGCGUUGUUCGGAUUCAUUGGGCGUCAAGGGUGUGUAGGUGGCGCGCUAAGUCGGGUGUGAAAUUUCGGAGCUUAACUCCGAAACUGCAUUCGAUACUGGCGUGCUUGAGGACUGGAGAGGAGACUGGAAUUCAUGGUGUAGCAGUGAAAUGCGUAGAGAUCAUGAGGAAGACCAGUGGCGAAGGCGGGUCUCUGGACAGUUCCUGACACUGAGACACGAAGGCCAGGGGAGCAAACGGG